rnacentral:pre_miRNA from 1 species
CUCUUAACUAUUAAAAGUUUCGUUUUGGUCUUUUAACUUACUUUUUGGUUUUAUUUUGGUCCCUUAACUCUUCCUCCGUCAACCACUUUGGUUCUUUAUGUUAGGAUGAAUGUAUUAGAGUUAAGGGACCAAAAUGAAACCAAAAAAUAAGUUAAGGGACCAAAACGAAAUCAAAAAAUAAGUUAAGAAACCAAAACGAAACUUUUAAUAGUUAAGGGACCGAAAGAAAACCCAAAAAUAAGUUAUGGGACCGAAACGAAACUUUUAAUAGUUAAGGAA